rnacentral:lncRNA from 1 species
CUUUUGUUGGGCCCACCCCACACUCAUGCCCCGCCACAGGCGCUGAGAGCUGGCACCCAACUUCUGGAAGUUGGAAGGAUGAACAAUUUUCCUACCAUGGAGGCUAAUCACUAAGUUGAAUGUCGCUCAAAGAAAAAGCAGCCAGCCACAGAACAGAGACAAAGAGACACCGUCAAGAUCGGUCAAAGUCCUGACACGCCCAGUCCUGAGGCCAUUCGCUUCUUCACCUGCACGCUCGGAGUCGGAGGGUGGAAUCGGCCUGGGAGCCCCCAUUCAACUGCAGCACCCAGGCCACGCGUCAGGCGAGGGUCGUUCUGAAUGUAGGUGGAGAUGGGGCCUGGAGAAGGAACGGUUUAAAAAGAAGGGAAACAUUCAUUAUGAGAAUGGCUGGGCACAUGUUGAUAAGAGGAGUGAAACCUGUACCAACCAACAUCGUACUGAAAGCCAGUAAUUCAGAAUAUGCUACUGGCAAGCUGAAAAUGUGUGUUUCCACCUGGUAUCCCAAGGCUGCAAAGAGGGAGCAAGACUGCAAAGAGGAAAUUUGCCUCUAUGAUGCUGCUGCACGCCUCCUGUAAUCUCCAAACCUGGAGCAGCUUCUCAAAGUAAAAGUGUAACUAAGGUAAAGUUGGCCCAAACACACAUCCAAAAUUUUGUGAAAAGGAUCUGCACCAUUUUGUUGUUUGCUGCUUAUAUAUCAUGAAUAUUAUUGUUGUUUGUCCUUAAAAAAAAGUCAUAUUGCUGAAGCAAUCUUGACACAGCUAGUUGUCUUUGCUCCCACAGACAGAGGAACUUCACUCACACUUCCUGUCCUCCAACAGUAAAGAAGACUGGCCACAGGCUGACCUUUCAGUGCAGGGCUUUAAUUAGCAUUAAGCCGAAUGUCUGUUUUCCAACUCAGGG